GGCCUGAUGGUCUAGUAGUAUGAUUCUCGCUUUGGGUCCUGCCUUAUCUACCCCAGCUGCGAGAGGUCCUGGGUUCAAUUCCCAGUCAGGCCC